AUCUUCCUGAUCUAUGUGAUUGUGCUAGUGCUGUGAACAGGGGCGGAUCCAGAAACAUGUUUUGUUGGGGGCACAAUAUGAAAAAAUGACAAAAACCAUGCUGAACGCUGAACCGGAAACACAUUUUUUUCCAUUCACUAAAUCUAAGAACAUUUAAUCAAAUUGUAUUAAACUACAUAAGAAAAAUAAGAAAACAGUAGGGGGCACGUGCCCCCGUACCGCAAAGCCUACAUCCGCCCCUAGCUGUGAAGAGUGAAGUGGGAGUGUGACCAAACGAAGGUUGAAUGGGGUUUGAGAGCGUAAUGAUCUCUAAUCUUUUACUCCAAAUGGUCAAAUAUGUAAUGGAAUAAA
rnacentral:lncRNA from 1 species